rnacentral:lncRNA from 1 species
AUCAGCACUACUGGUACACUACCAGACUAGGGCCAGUAACCCAGCUUUCUGAGCUGCCACUGAACCAUUUCUUUUUAAAUUGCAACAGGACCUGGCACUUCUGAUUUUACUGCUCAAGACCAUAUCCAAACAAGUGUCUGCUAUAAGAGGCUUCCAUUCUGGAAAAAAGGUGCUGCAAUUCCAGUCUUUGCUGGAAGUUUAAGGCUGUUUACCCUUCCUUAAGAAGACAAGAAACAAGAGGGCUGCUGUAAAGAAGACCAGUGAGGAAAGACAUAAGCAUUCAAUCUAAUGGCACUCCCAGGACAAGUCCCUUAUGAACACUCCUGUAGGAUUUUGUUCGUACCUCUUGUGGAGCAUGUACAACAUAUGAAGAUCUACAUG